UGCCAGCCGCCGCGGUAAUACGGAGGGUGCAAGCGUUGUUCGGAAUUACUGGGCGUAAAGCGGGCGCAGGCGGCUCGGUAGGUCGGGUGUGAAAGCCCAGGGCUCAACCCUGGAACUGCAUCCGAAACCCCCGAGCUUGAGUAUGUGAGAGGGAAGUGGAAUUCCUGGUGUAGAGGUGAAAUUCGUAGAUAUCAGGAGGAACACUCGCGGCGAAGGCGGCUUCCUGGCACAAUACUGACGCUCAUGCCCGAAAGUGUGGGGAGCAAACAGGAUUAGAUA
rnacentral:rRNA from 1 species